CCUAGGGAGGCUGCAGUAGGGAAUACUGCUCAAUGGGGGAAACCCUGAUGGUGCGACGCCGCGUGGGGGAAUGAAGGUCUUCGGAUUGUAAACCCCUGUCAUGUGGGAGCAAAUUAAAAAGAUAGUACCACAAGAGGAAGAGACGGCUAACUCUGUGCCAGCAGCCGCGGUAAUACAGAGGUCUCAAGCGUUGUUCGGAAUCACUGGGCGUAAAGCGUGCGUAGGCUGUUUCGUAAGUCGUGUGUGAAAGGCGCGGGCUCAACCCGCGGACGGCACAUGAUACUGCGAGACUAGAGUAAUGGAGGGGGAACCGGAAUGCUCGGUGGAGCAGUGAAAUGCGUAGAUAUCGAGAGGAACACUCGGGGCGAAGGCGGGUUCCUGGACAUUAACUGACGCUGAGGCACGAAGGCCAGGGGAGCGAAAGGGAUUAGAUACCCCAGUAGUC
rnacentral:rRNA from 1 species